rnacentral:rRNA from 1 species
AGAGUUUGAUCAUGGCUCAGAAUCAACGCUGGCGGCGUGCCUAACACAUGCAAGUCGAACGCGAAAGGGGAGCAAUCCCUGAGUAGAGUGGCGAACGGGUGAGUAACACGUGGGUGACCUGCCUUCGAGUGGGGGAUAACGUCCCGAAAGGGACGCUAAUACCGCAUGACAUCCCGCCUUUGAACAGGCGGUGAUUAAAGCUGGGGAUCGCAAGACCUGGCGCUUGAAGAGGGGCCCGCGCCCGAUUAGCUAGUUGGUGGGGUAAUGGCCUACCAAGGCUUCGAUCGGUAGCCGGCCUGAGAGGGCGGACGGCCACACUGGGACUGAGACACGGCCCAGACUCCUACGGGAGGCAGCAGUGGGGAAUUGUUCGCAAUGGGCGCAAGCCUGACGACGCAACGCCGCGUGGAGGACGAAGAUUUUCGGAUCGUAAACUCCUUUCGAUCGGGACGAAUCGUCUCCGACCUAAUACGUCGGGGGACUGACGGUACCGAGAGAAGAAGCCCCGGCUAACUCCGUGCCAGCAGCCGCGGUA